AAAUGGCAAAUAAGAUGGGGAGAGAGAGAAUGUGUUGUAAGCUCAGAGGUGGAGCAAUAACUGGUGGUUGGAGUGUCUGGGUCUAAAGGCCUUUGACCCACAAAAGGUGGCCAGGAGGCCAAGGACAGCUGGAUUGCUUAAGACGGUUCCUGAUCCUCCUUCUAAGUAUCAGAGAAUGGUGUCUUACUAAACCAAACACUGGAGCAGAAUCAUCAAAUGGGGAGGUUAGAUAAGAGUCAGCUGAUGAAGGCUGGGGUGUUUGGAGGCGAUUCUGCUUCAUCAAGUCUGUUAGCAUCCUAGACUAGAAGGCUGGUGCCGGCGUGCUCUUCCCAUGGUAAUUGUGGAAGGGCAAGACACAAGAAGAAACAUGCAAAGCCUCUUGCUAGGCUCAGAACUGGCACAGCACUAUUUCUACCUCAUUCUAUUGACCAAAUAAAGUCCUUUGGCCAAACUCAAAGUCAAGGGACAGGAAAGUGCACCCUGCCCAGGGAAGGCACUGCAAAAUUACGUGACGAAGGGCAUCUAUAGAGGGAUAAGGAAUUGGAGCCAUUGAUGUAUUCUACCACAAUGUUCUUCCCCAUUGCACCAAGCAACUUCUCUAUACAGAUUUCUCAUCUACAUUUUAGCUUCCUAUCACUGAUACAAUGAAUGUCUAUUCUGUCCUCAAACUAGAGUCAAAGGACAUGAUCCUGCUUUGCCACCCAUCACAGCUCUCCUACUGCAUUCCUCUCUGACAGUUUUGUCUGGGUUAUUAACUCAAACUG
rnacentral:lncRNA from 1 species